CGCCGCGUGGGUGAGGAAGGCCUUCGGGUUGUAAAGCCCUUUUAGUGGGGACGAAAAAAAUGACGGUACCCGCAGAAAAAGCACCGGCUAACUCCGUGCCAGCAGCCGCGGUAAUACGGAGGGUGCGAGCGUUAUUCGGAAUUACUGGGCGUAAAGCGCGUGCAGGCGGUUUGGUAAGUUCGAUGUGAAAUCCCUCGCCUCAAUCGAGGAAGUGCAUUGGAUACUGCCAGACUGGAGUGCAGGAGGGGAGAACGGAAUUCCCGGUGUAGAGGUGAAAUUCGUAGAUAUCGGGAGGAACAACAGUGGCGAAGGCGGUUCUCUGGACUGCAACUGACGCUGAGACGCGAAAGCGUGGGGAGCAAACAGGAUUAGAUACCCUGGUAGUCCACGCCGUAAACUAUGGAUACUAGAUGUCGGGAGUUCUUACCCUCUCGGUGUCGUAGCCAACGCGUUAAGUAUCCCGCCUGGGGACUACGGUCGCAAGAUUAAAACUCAAAGAAAUUGACGGGGGCCCGCACAAGCGGUGGAGUAUGUGGUUCAAUUCGAUGCAACGCGAACAACCUUACCUGGGCUUGACAUCCCACGCUACCCUGUGAAAGCAGGGGUUCCCUUCGGGGAC
rnacentral:rRNA from 1 species